rnacentral:rRNA from 1 species
AGAGUUUGAUCCUGGCUCAGAAUCAACGCUGGCGGCGUGCCUAACACAUGCAAGUCGAGCGAGAAAGGGGCUUCGGCCCUGAGUAAAGCGGCGCACGGGUGAGUAACACGUGGGUAAUCUGCCCUAGAGUGGGGAAUAACACCGGGAAACCGGUGCUAAUACCGCAUACGAUCACGAUAUCUUCGGAUGUUGUGAUGAAA